rnacentral:rRNA from 1 species
GAGGAAAGAGGGAGGCGUGCCUAAUACAUGCAAGUCGAGCGAACAGACGAGGAGCUUGCUCCUCUGACGUUAGCGGCGGACGGGUGAGUAACACGUGGAUAACCUACCUAUAAGACUGGGAUAACUUCGGGAAACCGGAGCUAAUACCGGAUAAUAUAUUGAACCGCAUGGUUCAAUAGUGAAAGACGGUUUUGCUGUCACUUAUAGAUGGAUCCGCGCCGCAUUAGCUAGUUGGUAAGGUAACGGCUUACCAAGGCAACGAUGCGUAGCCGACCUGAGAGGGUGAUCGGCCACACUGGAACUGAGACACGGUCCAGACUCCUACGGGAGGCAGCAGUAGGGAAUCUUCCGCAAUGGGCGAAAGCCUGACGGAGCAACGCCGCGUGAGUGAUGAAGGUCUUCGGAUCGUAAAACUCUGUUAUUAGGGAAGAACAAAUGUGUAAGUAACUAUGCACGUCUUGACGGUACCUAAUCAGAAAGCCACGGCUAACUACGUGC